CGGCGCCAGAUGCGCGGGGUCCGAGCGAGGGGCGGAGGCGACAGAUGGAAGAGACCCUCUCCGCCAGAGCUCUCAAUUUUAACUAAUUUGCCCACAGUUUUCCAAAAAAUCUCAGUCACGGUAUUUGCUCGAGUGUUUUUUAGCACAUGCUUAUAUAAAUAUGUAGUUUUACCACGCGCUUAUAUAAACAUAUAGUACCGAAAUGUGAUACAGCUGUACAAGAAGGAAAUGGGAAAGACGUGGAAAGGGAAACAAUAUUCUGCCCACAGAAAGUAAAAUACGUAAGCUACAGAGGAAUUGUGAAGGGCGAGGCCAGUACAAGGUCACAUAUUAAAGGAAGAAUAAAUGUGAUAUAGAAGUGAAAAGAGUGGUAAGAGGAAAUUAGAAGCAUGAUGCCUAGGCAGCGUGUUCAAAGACUGACCUCCCCACCCUCCCCCCACAAAAAGAAAAAAAAAGAAAAAAGACUGGCAAAGAAUUAGAUCAUCUUCCUUGCUGACAAGUAUCAUCUAGGAAUCACUCUACCUCGCUGGCAAUUUUGAGAAAAUAGCCAGUUAUUUUUGUGCUGAACUUUCAUCUGGUUAAGGGUCAUUCCUUCAGCAUUCAACUAAUAUUUACUCUCCUAUAUCCUCACCCACCCCAUGGAAAGAAUAUAUGUCACUUCAUCAACAAAAGGCUUGGCCAUGUGACUUUCUUUAGCCAAUGGAAUGUCAGUAGAUGUAAUUUACCACAUCCUUGCAGAAGUUUUAGAUGUGCCUGCAUGAAUUGACUUGGUCUCUUGAGCUUCUGAUCUCUACCAAAAGAAGCGCUUUCCUCAGGCAAUCCAGGACUGCAAAAACACAUACAGCCCAGCAAAGCUGUAGCCAACGCAAAGGCCU
rnacentral:lncRNA from 1 species